rnacentral:rRNA from 1 species
AGGUAAGCUACUAAGAGCGAAUGGUGGAUGCCUUGACUGGUAAAGGCGAUGAAGGACGUACUAGACUGCGAUAAGCUACGGGGAGCUGUCAAGAAGCUUUGAUCCGUAGAUUUCCGAAUGGGGCAACCCAAUGUAUAGAGAUAUACAUUACCUAUAUAGGAGCGAACGAGGGGAAUUGAAACAUCUUAGUACCCUCAGGAAAAGAAAUCAAUAGAGAUUGCGUCAGUAGCGGCGAGCGAAAGCGCAAGAGGGCAAACCCAGUGCUUGCACUGGGGGUUGUAGGACUGCAAUAUGCAAGAGGUAAGUUUAGCAGAACAUUCUGGAAAGUAUAACCAUAGAGGGUGAUAGUCCCGUAUGCGAAAAACAAACCUUAGCUAGCAGUAUCCUGAGUAGGGCGGGACACGAGGAAUCCUGUCUGAAUCCGGGUCGACCACGAUCCAACCCUAAAUACUAAUACCAGAUCGAUAGUGCACAAGUACCGUGAGGGAAAGGUGAAAAGAACUGAGGUGAUCAGAGUGAAAUAGAACCUGAAACCAUUUGCUUACAAUCAUUCAGAGCCCUAUGUAGCAAUACAGGGUGAUGGACUGCCUUUUGCAUAAUGAGCCUGCGAGUUGUGGUGUCUGGCAAGGUUAAGCAAACGCGAAGCCGUAGCGAAAGCGAGUCUGAAUAGGGCGCUUAGUCAGAUGCUGCAGACCCGAAACGAAGUGAUCUAUCCAUGAGCAAGUUGAAGCUAGUGUAAGAACUAGUGGAGGACUGAACCCAUAGGCGUUGAAAAGCCCCGGGAUGACUUGUGGAUAGGGGUGAAAGGCCAAUCAAACUUCGUGAUAGCUGGUUCUCUCCGAAAUAUAUUUAGGUAUAGCGUUGUGUCGUAAUAUAAGGGGGUAGAGCACUGAAUGGGCUAGGGCAUACACCAAUGUACCAAACCCUAUCAAACUCCGAAUACCUUAUAUGUAAUCACAGCAGUCAGGCGGCGAGUGAUAAAAUCCGUCGUCAAGAGGGAAACAACCCAGACUACCAGCUAAGGUCCCUAAGUCUUACUUAAGUGGAAAACGAUGUGAAGUUACUUAAACAACCAGGAGGUUGGCUUAGAAGCAGCCAUCCUUUAAAGAAAGCGUAAUAGCUCACUGGUCUAGUGAUUUUGCGCGGAAAAUAUAACGGGGCUAAAGUAAGUACCGAAGCUGUAGACUUAGUUUACUAAGUGGUAGGAGAGCGUUCUAUUUGCGUCGAAGGUAUACCGGUAAGGAGUGCUGGAGCGAAUAGAAGUGAGCAUGCAGGCAUGAGUAGCGAUAAUUAAUGUGAGAAUCAUUAACGCCGUAAACCCAAGGUUUCCUACGCGAUGCUCGUCAUCGUAGGGUUAGUCGGGUCCUAAGUCGAGUCCGAAAGGGGUAGACGAUGGCAAAUUGGUUAAUAUUCCAAUACCAACAUUAGUGUGCGAUGGAAGGACGCUUAGGGCUAAGGGGGCUAGCGGAUGGAAGUGCUAGUCUAAGGUCGUAGGAGGUUAUACAGGCAAAUCCGUAUAACAAUACUCCGAGAACUGAAAGGCUUUUUGAAGUCUUCGGAUGGAUAGAAGAACCCCUGAUGCCGUCGAGCCAAGAAAAGUUUCUAAGUUUAGCUAAUGUUGCCCGUACCGUAAACCGACACAGGUGGGUGGGAUGAGUAUUCUAAGGCGCGUGGAAGAACUCUCUUUAAGGAACUCUGCAAAAUAGCACCGUAUCUUCGGUAUAAGGUGUGGUUAGCUUUGUAUUAGGAUUUACUCUGAAAGCAAGGAAACUUACAACAAAGAGUCCCUCCCGACUGUUUACCAAAAACACAGCACUCUGCUAACUCGUAAGAGGAUGUAUAGGGUGUGACGCCUGCCCGGUGCUC